AGCCCUCCUCUACCCUCCAUCCAAGCACACCAUCUCUCUCUCGCGUCCCCGUCUCUCUCUCUCUCUCUCUCUCUCUCUCUCUCUUUCUCCGAAUCUCAAAUCAAUCCAAUCUAUCCAUCGUAGUCUUGAACCUGGAACCCUAGCAAUCUGAUCAACUUUCAUCUCAGAUCGAAGCAAGCCCUAGCGAUCUUCUUAACUGCCUCCGUUAACAGAAUCUUAGAAGUGAGAGGGUCUCUGAUCCUUCAUCUUCAUCAUCUCGAGGUCGUAGCUGCUCGAGUUCUGAGGCCUUCAUUAUCUCGAGGUCGUAGCUGCUCGAGUGCUAAGGCCGUCGCUGUUCGCAUCGCCGUUGACCCCUGUCAAACUCAGUGAAGUCUUGCGUCGCCAUCACUACUAUUUUAGUAGGAGAUCGUGACACAGAUGGAAACCCUUCAACACAUUCUAGAGAUAGCACUCAAAGAUAGCACUGAGGACCCUCCUGAGGUUAGGAAAAGAGAGCUUUCGAUGGGUGUGAUCAUAACCCAAAGAUUAUCAGUUGCAUUAUUAGAAUGUACUUGCCGGAAGCCAUGCCGACAUGGAAAAAGUAUCCGGAGGAGUGGAAAGAAGUCUGCUACAAAGAAUUCGAGGAAGCAUAUGAUCAAACAAUUCGAGAGACGUGUAUGGGGAUGAUAUUUCGUCACAAAGAUUUUCAAGCAUGGUUGUCAGCUUAAGGCUGUGUGCAAAAAGGCCAUACAUAUGGUUUGGGUGGAAGUGUCAACUCUCAAUCAGUACUUGGUGGUACGAACUAUCAUGAUUUUGAGACACCCAUCUCUUCUAAUGCUUCACAGAUCGAGAUUGAUGAUGUGUUUAUGACGAAAUUGCAAGAAAUGGUAGUUAAAGUUGCAACGGAAGUCGCAACAAAGUUCUACAUGCAAAUUCGUCAGGAAGAGAAAUCCACUUCAUAACCUUCUAUAUCUAUUCCACCAUCGAGAAUACCGCCAUUAGUAAAUUAAAUAUUCUUUAUAGAAAGCUUUUUCUUGUUAAUCUAUUCUUUAUAGAACAAUAUAAAAUCUCUGUUUGGGGAUGUGUUUCAAGUUCGGAAUCAUAACCUCUACUUUGAACAGAUAUAUAUGCUACUCUUAAAUCUGUGUAUUAGUCUCACAAUUGAGUUUUUUUGAAAUUAAAGCUGAUCCAAAUAGGAGAAUUAGAUCUAACUGAAUUUUCUAUUCAUGUUUAAGGUACUACUAGUUUUUCAAGAGCUAGAACAUAGCAAGCUGAUGGCGAGGAAGACAAAUUUGAUGGUGAAUGAAUGAUUUUUGUGUUUUUCGGAUGUAGGGUUGCAACUAGGAGUGAUUCUACAGGAAGGAAUGCUAAAGAGAAUAAGAUUGUUGGAAACGCUACCCUUGUACUCUACUGAUUUGUGUUAUAACUUGCUUUUUAUUUCACUAAUAGUAUAUGUACACAAUAUGUCUUUUUCUUUGGAGUUUCAACAUGGGAGAACCGUAAACUGGUCCAUGUUUUGUGUUUUGAUGGUGUAAGUUGUAAAGAAUUUUCAGUUGACUAUCAUCUUAUAAAAGUGAUUAGGAUCUUUUAUUGCUAA